rnacentral:rRNA from 1 species
AGUGAAUAGAUACCCAGGUAGUCCACGCCCUAAACGAUGUCGACUGGUUGUUGGGGGUUUGACACUCUCAGUAAACGAAAGCUAAACGCGUGAAGUCGACCGCCUGGGGAGUACGGCCGCAAGGUUAAAACUCAAAGGAAUUGACGGGGACCCGCACAAGCGGUGGAUUAUGUGGAUUAAUUCGAUGCAACGCGAAAAACCUUACCUACCCUUGACAUGUCCUGAAUCCCGCUGAGAGGUGGGAGUGCCCGAAAGGGAACGGGAACACAGGUGCUGCAUGGCUGUCGUCAGCUCGUGUCGUGAGAUGUUGGGUUAAGUCCCGCAACGAGCGCAACCCUUGUCAUUAGUUGCUACAUUCAGUUGGGCACUCUAAUGAGACUGCCGGUGACAAACCGGAGGAAGGUGGGGAUGACGUCAAGUCCUCAUGGCCCUUAUGGGUAGGGCUUCACACGUAAUACAAUGGCGCGUACAGAGGGUUGCCAAGGGGUGACCUGGAGCCAAUCCCACAAAGCGCGUCGUAGUCCGGAUUGCAGUCUGCAACUCG